rnacentral:rRNA from 1 species
UUCCGGUUGAUCCUGCCGGCGGCCACUGCUAUCAGGUUUCGACUAAGCCAUGCGAGUUAUAGGGUCGUAAGACACUGGCGAACCGCUCAGUAACACGCGGAUAAUCUACCCCCAGGUGGGGUAUAACCUCGGGAAACUGAGGGUAAUCCCCCAUAGUCAUUAUAUGCUGGAAUGCUUUGAUGAUGAAAGUUCCGACGCCUGAGGAUGAGUCUGCGGCCUAUCAGGUAGUAUGUGGCGUAAAGGACCACAUAGCCGUUGACGGGUACGGGCCCUGAGAGGGGGAGCCCGGAGAUGGACUCUGAGACACUAGUCCAGGCCCUACGGGGCGCAGCAGGCGCGAAAACUGUGCAAUGCGCGAAAGCGCGACACGGGGAGCCUGAGUGCCUUGACUAAGUCAAGGCUUUUCUUAAGCCUAAAAAGCUUGAGGAAUAAGAGCUGGGUAAGACGGGUGCCAGCCGCCGCGGUAACACCCGCAGCCCGAGUGGUAGUCACUUUUAUUGAGCCUAAAGCGUUCGUAGCCGGUUUUGUAAAUCCUCAGACAAAUUCUCCCGCUUAACGGGAGAUACUCUGGAGAGACUGCGAAACUAGGGACCGGGUGAGGUUGAAGGUACUUCUGGGGUAGGGGUAAAAUCCUGUAAUCCUGGAAGGACGACCAGUGGCGAAGGCGUUCAACUAGAACGGAUCCGACGGUGAGGAACGAGGGCUAGGGGAGCAAACCGGAUUAGAUACCCGGGUAGUCCUAGCUGUAAACACUGCCCACUUGGUGUUGCUUCUUCUAUAGGGGGGAGCAGUGCCGGAGCGAAGGUGUUAAGUGGGCCGCUUGGGGAGUAUGGUCGCAAGGCUGAAACUUAAAGGAAUUGGCGGGGGAGCACCGCAACGGGAGGAGCGUGCGGUUUAAUUGGAUUCAACGCCGGAAAACUCACCGGGAGCGACCUUUGGAUGAGAGUCAACCUGACGAGUUUACUCGAUAGAAGGAGAGGUGGUGCAUGGCCGUCGUCAGCUCGUACCGUAGGGCGUUCACUUAAGUGUGAUAACGAGCGAGACCC